AAUAAAUUUUACCCACAUUUUUCAUCCAGGCACACAAGAAUGCUCCUCUGUUUGUACUGGAACAAUCAAAAACUCAGGAAGUUUUAAGUGGUACUUCAGUGUCUAGGAUGUGAACUUCAUGGUGUGCUCACCACUCUUACUCAGAUCACAGUCAACUCUUCACUGCUCCUUCUCCACAGACAUUUCAGCCUGAGGUGGAUGUGGGACAAUCAGGAUAACUGCUGGAACAAGGUGUAUUUGAUCUUUGUGAUGAAUCUGAGCUUGCCUUCCAGCAAGCUGCAGAAAGAACUCUGAGCUUGAGCAUGAAGGUGUCUAUAAGCAGUUGUUUUAAAUGAAGAAUUAUCAAAAAACAUUAAAGGAGGAAGUUAAGAGUGAAUGUGAGAGUAUAAGAAGAAAGAUGAAUUUUUGUGUGGCCUGGCUGUGGAUUUGGAAGGGAAGUGAUGAAAUGUGCCUUGCUGUUGUGAAAUUUGGAAACAAGACAGCCUGCAAAGACCACUCUCCCCUUCGCUGAAUGAUUGAGGACUGUGAGCCCAGAAUGUGAAGGACACCUGCUCCAGCAGGAAUAGCUGGGAUCAAAAUCCAAGCUGUAGAGGGAAGCUGCAGGCUCAGUGUGCUGCCUGCUGACCCAAGCUGAGCAGCUGCCAGUGUGACUGUGGAAAAUGUUGAUGCUGAAUUUGCUGAUCCCACUGCAAGGUACAAGUUGUUGGGUGAGCAGCAGAAGAGGAGAAACAGGCCCUACUUCUCACAGACAGAGCUGCCUUUGCUUUCCAGAGGGGUUUUUUCACCGAUGAACUUCCAGAAACUGCCAAAGUUAUGUCCCUAUUGUUGUGGUGGUGUGCUGUGGAUACAGAUGUUCAGAAGGGUAGCAAUGUGGAGAAGGGCAGUGAGGAUCUCUGAAGUGUUCAGCGCCUUUCUUUGUGUACUGAAAACAUUGGUGGUGCAUUUUACAGUAUAUUGAGUUUGAAGUGGCCUGCAAGAAAAGAAAUGUAUUUGGGAGACAAAGCAACAC